rnacentral:rRNA from 1 species
GACGGGGCCCGGCACAAGCGGUGGAGCAUGUGGUUAAUUCGACGCAACGCGAAGAACCUUACCAGGGCUUGACAUCCCCUGACCGCGUAUGAAAGUACGUUUUCACCCUCGGGUGACAGGGAGACAGGUGGUGCAUGGUUGUCGUCAGCUCGUGUCGUGAGAUGUUGGGUUAAGUCCCGCAACGAGCGCAACCCCUACGUUUAGUUGCUAACGCGUGAAGGCGAGCACUCUAGACGAACUGCCGUUGACAAAACGGAGGAAGGUGGGAUGACGUCAAAUCAUCAUGCCCCUUAUGUUCUGGGCUACACACGUGCUACAAUGGCCGGUACAGACGGACGCAAAGCCGCGAGGUGGAGCAAAUCCUAAAAAGCCGGUCUCAGUUCGGAUUGCAGGCUGCAAUUCGCCUGCAUGAAGUCGGAAUUGCUAGUAAUCGCAGGUCAGCAUACUGCGGUGAAUACGUUCCCGGGCCUU